rnacentral:rRNA from 1 species
AACGAACGCUGGCGGCAUGCCUAACACAUGCCAGUCGAACGAGACCUUCGGGUCUUGUGGCGCACGGGUUCGUAACGCGUGGGAACCUGCCCUUAGGUUCGGAAUAACUCCCCGAAAGGGGUGCUAAUACCAGACAAUAUCUUCUGACCAAAGAUUUAUUGCCUUUGGGUGGACCCGCGUUGGAUUCGCUAGUUGGUAGGGUAAAAGCCUACAAAGGCGAAGAUCCGUAGCUGGGCUGGGAGGAUGGUCAGCCACACUAGGAGAGAGACACGGCCGAGACUCUUAGGGAAGGCAGCAGUGGGGAAGAAUGGACGAUGGGCGAAAGCCUAAGGCAGCAGGGCCGCGUGAGUGAGGAAGGCGGGAGGGUUGAAAAGGUCUUUUACUCUGCAUGAUAAGAAGAGACCCGGUAAGAUAGGCUCGGGUAACUUCGUU